UGGGGAAUAUUGCACAAUGGGGGAAACCCUGAUGCAGCGACGCCGCGUGAGCGAAGAAGUAUCUCGGUAUGUAAAGCUCUAUCAGCAGGGAAGAAAAUGACGGUACCUGACUAAGAAGCCCCGGCUAACUACGUGCCAGCAGCCGCGGUAAUACGUAGGGGGCAAGCGUUAUCCGGAUUUACUGGGUGUAAAGGGAGCGUAGACGGCAAUGCAAGUCUGAAGUGAAAGGACGGGGCUUAACCCCGGGACGGCUUUUGAAACUGCCCUGCUUGAUUUCAGGAGAGGUAAGCGGAAUUCCUAGUGUAGCGGUGAAAUGCGUAGAUAUUAGGAGGAACACCAGUGGCGAAGGCGGCUUACUGGACUGACAAUGACGCUGAGGCUCGAAAGCGUGGGGAGCAAACA
rnacentral:rRNA from 1 species